rnacentral:misc_RNA from 1 species
GAUGAGGAACGCAGCGAAAUGCGAUAAGUAAUGUGAAUUGCAGAAUUCAGUGAAUCAUCGAAUCUUUGAACGCACAUUGCGCCCGCCAGUAUUCUGGCGGGCAUGCCUGUCUGAGCGUCAUUUCAACCCUCAUGCCCCUAGGGCGUGGUGUUGGGGAUCGGCCAAAGCCCGCGAGGGACGGCCGGCCCCUAAAUCUAGUGGCGGACCCGUCGUGGCCUCCUCUGCGAAGUAGUGAUAUUCCGCAUCGGAGAGCGAUGAGCCCCUGCCGUUAAACCCCCAACUUUCCAAGGUUGACCUCAGAUCAGGUAGGAAUACCCGCUGAACUUAAGCAUAUCAAUAAGCGGAGGA